UACGGGAGGCAGCAGUGAGGAAUAUUGGACAAUGGAGGGAACUCUGAUCCAGCCAUGCCGCGUGCAGGAUAAGGUCCUAUGGAUUGUAAACUGCUUUUGUACGGGAGCAAUAAGGUCCACGUGUGGGUCGAUGAGAGUACCGUACGAAUAAGCAUCGGCUAACUCCGUGCCAGCAGCCGCGGUAAU
rnacentral:rRNA from 1 species